UGACUGGAACCUCCACAACCCCUAUCAGGUAGGCUGCCCUUCAGAUACCGAAGACUUAUCACCCGCGACCACUGUCUCCAGGCCUCCACUCCACUGGGGACCCACAUCCUCCUGCGGCUCUUAUGGGAUCUGUGCAGGUUCCCAGCUGGCUCUGCUUUUCAGAGGGAAGCAUUGUUUCUGCAGUGACACACCCGCUCAGUACCACGGCACUGCUGACUCCCACUCACCCUGUGACGCCCUGCCCAGAGCAUGGGAGGAAAGUAUUCUCUGCAGGACGCUCCCACACAAGCGGGGGCCGCAGGCCUAGCCCUGCUUGCCUGGCUACACGAAGAGUCUCGCCUUUUCUUCCUAGAUUCCAGAAGAUUCGGGAUUUUUCCUAAGGCAAGAGAAAACCCCAGUUCAUGGGAAGCCAGGAUAAAAACCCUUUAAGACCAUGAGCCAAGGUGAAUGAAGAGGAAUUUUCUGUCUUAGGGAUAGAGAAUCAUGCUACAUGAAGGCAGCCGUGCCAACACAACGCAAGGCUACGAAAGCAAGCAAGGCACAAGAAAACCCCAGUUCCACAGAGACACACGCGUUCUAUUUGGUGAAGAGUUUGGUGCACAGACUGACUGCAUCCUGUGAAGAGAUGGCCCUUGUCAAGGUUUGCUUGUCUGGCUACUGCCUCCAGAGGAUCUUUGCAUCUUAGGAUGUGGCACUAGCUCAUUGAAACUAUUUUUGUAACUCUCUGCAAGAGCCAAUUUAAGCUGGCUUCUCAGUUCCCUCUGCACUCAAAAGAGACCAAUUUCCAAUUCCUCCUCAGAGUCCGUAAGACCAGAUGCUGCGACAAAUGUUCCAGCGAAAUGAACCUAGAAAAUGAUCCCGGGUGCUCGCUGGGGGAGCAGAGGAUUCCUCAGUUCUAUCGCUAAGGCUUUAACAGACAUCAGUCACAGGGUGAGUGCUGCCAGCGCCCCCCCGUCAGUGUUUUUGAUGGGACAUGCUUUCCUGAUAGCACAGGGGAUCUUGGAGGGGAUAGAAGGUUCCCAAUAAGGCUAGGGGCCAUGUGACAGAUUCAGAGUGUGG
rnacentral:lncRNA from 1 species